rnacentral:rRNA from 1 species
UCGGAGAUGGAUGAGCCCGCGUUGGAUUAGCUAGUUGGUGGGGUAAUGGCCUACCAAGGCGACGAUCCAUAGCUGGUCUGAGAGGAUGAUCAGCCACACUGGGACUGAGACACGGCCCAG